CAGCAGCCGCGGGAAUACGAAGGGGGCUAGCGUUGUUCGGAUUUACUGGGCGUAAAGGGCGCGUAGGCGGACUGAUAAGUCAGGGGUGAAAUCCCAAGGCUCAACCUUGGAACUGCCUUUGAUACUGUUUGUCUUGAGUUCGAGAGAGGUAAGUGGAACUGCGAGUGUAGAGGUGAAAUUCGUAGAUAUUCGCAAGAACACCAGUGGCGAAGGCGGCUUACUGGCUCGAAACUGACGCUGAGGCGCGAAAGCGUGGGGAGCAAACAGGAUUAGAUACCCGUGUAGUCCCUGUCUCUUAUAC
rnacentral:rRNA from 1 species